CUUAGAGGUGCCGUGACUACUUAUGUGGAACUAAUUUUUUGAUAGUUAAGUUUGUCAACUUUCCCUUUAACAAGCAACAGAAAGAGCAGAUAAUUCUCUUUGAACCUGAAUUUUUGAAGGUCAUUGGAAAGAAGUAGACAUUAAUCUAUUAAGAUUUGCAAAUCUCUGUAAGAUCUCACUUUAUCCUUGAAUUGCCUCGCAUUAAAGAAAGUAUUAAUUGGUCAUAUUUUUAAAAUAUUUAAUUUUCACUGGGUGCAGUGGCUCACGCCUGUAAUCCCAGCACUUUGGGAGGCCGAGGCGGGUGGAUCACUUGAGGUUGGAAGUUCGAGACCAGCCUGACCAACGUGGAGAAACCCCG
rnacentral:lncRNA from 1 species